UACGUAGGCAGCAAGCGUUGUUCGGAGUUACUGGGCGUAAAGGGUGUGUAGGCGGUUUUUUAAGUUUGGUGCGAAAUCUCCCGGCUCAACUGGGAGGGUGCGCCGAAUACUGAAAGACUAGAGUGCGGGAGAGGAAAGUGGAAUUCCUGGUGUAGCGGUGAAAUGCGUAGAUAUCAGGAGGAACACCGGUGGUGUAGACGGCUUUCUGGACCGUAACUGACGCUGAGACACGAAAGCGUGGGUAGCAAACAGG
rnacentral:rRNA from 1 species